UACGUAGGGGGCAAGCGUUGUCCGGAUUUAUUGGGCGUAAAGAGCGUGUAGGCGGCCUGGUAGGUCAGCUGUGAAAACUCGAGGCUCAACCUCGAGACGCCGGUUGAAACCAUCAGGCUAGAGUCCGGAAGAGGAGAGUGGAAUUCCCGGUGUAGCGGUGAAAUGCGCAGAUAUCGGGGAAGAACACCCGUGGCUAAGGCGGCUCUCUAGUACGGUACUGACGCUGAGACGCGAAAAGCGUGGGGGAGCGAAACAGG
rnacentral:rRNA from 1 species